rnacentral:misc_RNA from 1 species
AUGUAAUGUAAUCUUCUGCCUCAUUGAAUGCUAAAAAUAGGGCUCUCAGAUAGUAUUACGAUUAUAACUCACUAGACUCGAGAUUCAAGUUACUUCAUGAUGUUCUUUGUUUGAUUAAAAUUUAAAAUUUAUCAAAAAAUUUAAAAUAAUAUUUAAUAAAAUAAAUUAUUAAAUAAUUCACCACCACUUUUCAUUACACUUCAUCACUUUUCAUUACACGUUUUUUCA